AUUGAACGCUGGCGGCAUGCCUUACACAUGCAAGUCGAACGGCAGCACGGGAGCAACCCUGGUGGCGAGUGGCGAACGGGUGAGUAAUGUAUCGGAACGUGCCCAGACGUGGGGGAUAACGUAGCGAAAGCUACGCUAAUACCGCAUACGAACUGAGGGUGAAAGCGGGGGAUCGCAAGACCUCGCGCGAUUGGAGCGGCCGAUGGCAGAUUAGGUAGUUGGGGGGGUAAAGGCCUACCAAGCCGACGAUCUGGAGCUGGUCUGAGAGGACGACCAGCCACACUGGGACUGAGACACGGCCCAGACUCCUACGGGAGGCAGCAGUGGGGAAUUUUGGACAAUGGGCGCAAGCCUGAUCCAGCCAUUCCGCGUGCAGGAUGAAGGCCCUCGGGUUGUAAACUGCUUUUGUACGGAACGAAAAGGCCCUCUCUAAUACAGGGGGCUGAUGACGGUACCGUAAGAAUAAGCACCGGCUAACUACGUGCCAGCCGCCGCAGUAA
rnacentral:rRNA from 1 species